AAGAAACUACUCCGCGCAUGCGCACUUUGCUCUGCAGACGUCACUGAAAUUUUCUGCGCAUGCGAACACCGGAUUUCUGGCUGCAAAUCGUUCGAAAUCAUCAGAAAUCGGGGAAAUGCAUAAGAGUAACGGGAGAUAAGGGGACACAGCGGAAAAUCUGAUAAAAUGGCUGCUUGCGUAAGUUUUAAAAAUUGAAAUGAACAGUUUUCAUUCUGUGGGGAUUUGUCUCUGCUGCCCAUGGCAUCGGAAUCCAUGCUCCCUGAGCAAGUCAAGCCCAGACAAGCUAAAGGACGAAGGCAGAUCCAACGGGAAAAAUCCCUAACCAGUGAGUUGGAGGGUGAUGGCACUUUUGUCUUUGAGGCUGAUGAGGCAUGGAAGGAGUUUCAUAAUUCACUUCUCCGUUUUUAUGAAGUGGGGGAACUAUGUGACGUCACACUUAAGGUUGGUUCUAAGCUGAUACCAUGCCACAAACUAGUACUGGCCUGUGUGAUCCCUUAUUUUCGUGCCAUGUUCCUGUCAGAUAUGGCAGAAACCAAACAGACACUCAUUGAGAUACAAGAUUUUGACGGUAAUGCUAUAGAAGACCUGGUUAAAUUUUCUUACUCCUCCCGUGUGACCUUGACAGUAGACAACGUCCAGCCUCUCCUUUAUGCUGCAUGCAUCCUUCAAGUGGAACUGGUUGCUAAGGCUUGUUGUGAGUACAUGAAGCUGCAUUUCCACCCAUCCAACUGCCUGGCUGUUAGAGCUUUUGCAGAGAGCCACAAUCGUGUUGACUUGAUGGACAUGGCUGACCGAUAUGCAUGUGACCAUUUUACAGAGGUGGCUGAUUGUGAUGACUUUGUGAGUAUGACACCCCAGCACCUUUACAAACUGCUGUCUUCUGGAGACCUUAAUAUUGAGAAUGAAAAGCAGGUUUACAAUGCAGCUAUCAAGUGGCUUCAUGCCAACCCACAGCACCACACAGCAUGGCUAGAUGAAAUACUGUCCCAGGUGCGCCUACCCUUGUUACCAGUUGAGUUCCUAAUGUCAGUUGUUGCCAAAGAAGACAUAAUCAAACAGAACUUAAAAUGCAGAGAUCUUCUGGAUGAGGCAAGAAAUUAUCACCUCCAUAUGAGUAGUCGCUCUUUACCAGACUUUGAGUACACCGUUCGUACUAUCCCAAGAAAACAGACCGCAGGAGUUCUGUUUUGUGUGGGAGGACGUGGGGGCUCAGGAGAUCCGUUUCGCAGUAUUGAAUGUUACUCUGUUACCAAAAACAGCUGGUUUUUCGGACCAGAAAUGAACAGCCGGAGAAGACACGUGGGAGUAAUCUCUGUUGGAGGCAAGGUGUAUGCAGUUGGUGGACAUGAUGGAAAUGAACAUUUAGGAAGUAUGGAAUUGUUUGAUCCACUCACUAAUAAAUGGAUGAUGAAAGCAUCAAUGAACACAAAGAGGAGGGGUAUUGCACUGUCUUCUCUGGGUGGCCCUAUAUAUGCAAUUGGUGGUCUUGAUGACAAUACAUGCUUCAAUGAUGUAGAAAGAUAUGAUAUAGAAAGUGACCACUGGACUGCUGUUGCUCAAAUGAUCUCUCCUCGAGGUGGAGUUGGGUCAGUUGCCCUAAUGAGCCAUGUUUAUGCUGUGGGAGGGAAUGAUGGAGUAGCUUCACUCUCAAGUGUAGAGAGGUAUGACCCUCAUCUGGACAAAUGGAUAGAGGUCAAAGAGAUGGGCCAACGUAGAGCUGGCAAUGGUGUUAGUGAACUUCAUGGCUGCUUGUAUGUUGUAGAGCGACAACUAUGCUUACAAAGCUGUAAACAGGAUCUAGAAUCACUCCUGAGUAGGGGACGAAGGACUGCUAUAUUUUCCAACAUUAUCCAUUAUAGACUUGUUGGAAUAAUGCUGGAAUGGGUUUCUGUCUGGCCAACUAAUAAGAAAAACACUUAACUGCACCAUGCAUGGGAAGAAUCGCACAAAUCUUAAAGCGGGAAUAGCCUGAUUUUCAAAGAUUGGCAUACCAAAGGCUUACAAAACAUUACAGACGUGGUCACCCCUACUACCAUAAUCCAACCCAUUUCGGCCUUGCUCCAAAAAUACCCAUUUUUGCAGCUCCAUCAGUUUUCCCUGAUCCAACUCUUACAUUUCGCUACACAACAACUGGCCAAACUCACGGACAGAGAUAAAAACAAUCCAAUUGAUUCCCUUUGGCUGAAACGUGAUACUAUUAAAUCCACCGCACACAUCUACAAACAGAUUAGGACUAAUAUCGAUCCUGAUACCACUACUAUGGCCUUUACAAAAUGGAAAUCAAUCAUCCCACAAGCCGAGAAUGUGGAUGUUCUCCGAUACCACACGCGCCUGAUGCAAAUUUUGCCUGCUAGCACUUAUCAGGAAAUGUCCCUGCAAUUAUUGCACCACACUUACCUGACGCCUUUGAAAAGAUUUCAUAUAGGUGCAACACACUCAGACAGCUGUCUGAAAUGCGAAACUCCUAGAGCUGAUAUGAUACAUUGUCUAUGGUCCUGCCCACUCAUACAACAGUUUUGGAAGGAGGUCGCCAGCUAUUGGGAAACCCUAUCUGGGAAAUCUAUAACCAUUAACGCCACUUGGGCUAUAUUUAGCAAACUUCACUCUACCCCACAUAUCUCCAAGCCGGAGAGGGCCCUGGCGGAACGACUUGCGGCGGCAGCUAGAAAGACUAUUUUACAUACCUGGCUGUCCCGCCUUCCUCCGCCAAUCUCUUUGGUGCGACAGAAACUGCAAUACCUCUUCCACUUAGACUGGAUAGAGACCCUAACAAACAAAGAAAAAAACACUGAACAAUUUUUUGACACCUGGAUGUCUUACAUAAACACCUUCACACCACUUACAAGAUCACUCACUCUUCAAAUUUUUCAAAACACCACGUGGUACGAAAGGGAGCUGCUGUUGGGGGCCGAUCCUGUCUGUGAGGCGGAUCACCUGUUGCGAUCCGUGGGUAAUUCGCAACAAUCACCUACGACGGGAACCCCCAGGAGUCAUCAUCUUAACCAGCUGUUUACUUCCACUAUAUCACGAUUAUAAUCCUCCCACGUGCUAACCCAUUGUCUACAAACAGUACUAUCGGGGCUUUGAUGACAAUUCUCCACUGAGUUCUGUAGAACGAUAUGAUCCUCGCAUGAACAAGUGGGAUUAUGUUUCAGAGCUUACUACCCCUAGGGGUGGUGUUGGCAUAGCAACAUUAAUGGGAAAAAUAUAUGCAGU